AUCCAGACUCCUACGGGAGGCAGCAGUGGGGGAUAUUGCACAAUGGGGGAAACCCUGAUGCAGCGACGCCGCGUGGGUGAAGAAGCGCCUCGGCGCGUAAAGCCCUGUCAGCAGGGAAGAAAAUGACGGUACCUGAAGAAGAAGCCCCGGCUAACUACGUGCCAGCAGCCGCGGUAAUACGUAGGGGGCGAGCGUUAUCCGGAUUCACUGGGUGUAAAGGGAGCGUAGACGGCCAUGCAAGCCAGGGGUGAAAGCCUGGGGCCCAACCCCGGGACUGCCCUUGGAACUGCAUGGCUGGAGUGCGGGAGGGGCAGGCGGAAUUCCUGGUGUAGCGGUGAAAUGCGUAGAUAUUAGGAGGAACACCAGUGGCGAAGGCGGCCUGCUGGGCUUUAACUGACGCUGAGGCUCGAAAGUGUGGGUAGCAAACAGGAUUAGAUACCCUUGUA
rnacentral:rRNA from 1 species